rnacentral:rRNA from 1 species
UACAGAGGAUGCAAGCGUUAUCCGGAAUGAUUGGGCGUAAAGCGUCUGUAGGUGGCUUUUUAAGUCCGCCGUCAAAUCCCAGGGCUCAACUCUGGACAGGCGGUGGAAACUACCAAGCUGGAGUACGGUAGGGGCAGAGGGAAUUUCCGGUGGAGCGGUGAAAUGCGUAGAGAUCGGAAAGAACACCAACGGCGAAAGCAGUCAACUAGUCUGUUCCUGACAUUGAGGCAUGAAAGCGUGGGGAGCAAACCGG